rnacentral:tRNA from 1 species
UGAGGCGUAGCUCGUGUUAAGAAGGGGCCCUUCCUCUACCGCAGGCGUUAAUAAGGUGCCCUUCCUUGCACCCCAAC